AAACAUCCACGCGUUUUUUUCGAUUCUGAAUAUUCACUUCUCCCUUCUCUGCUAUUGUUCCCUUCAUCAAAAAAUCCCUAGAAUCCUUCGAUUUUUUUGAUUCCAGAGAUUAUCUUGCCGUUUCUUCUUCCGAUCUUCACUCUCUGUCUCUAUCAUUAAUCAUUAUCAACUCAUCUAGUCAUUUUUUCGACAGCCCUAGAUGAUCUCAAUGUUAAUUUGGCGAAAAUCACUGCAUCCAAUUAUCGGGUUUCCCCGAUAUCUCUUCCUUCCUUCUUCUUCUUCAUACAAAGGUUUGUACGGCCUAUAAAAAGUGUGAUUAUGCUCUGCAAUCUAUAUCCCAAAGUCAAAUUAAGCACCAACACAGCAACCCUAAAUCUUUAUCGAUUGCCAUCUUCCUCUGUCUAGCUCUGUUUCGCUUCAUAGUUGGGUAAGGUUUUUGUUUAUUCUUGCUUUCCAGCGUAGAUGUCUAUGUUAUUAAGCUUAUUAGUUAUUAGCUUUGUCGGUUUGUUUCUACAUGAUUUUAGGCCUUGACUAUUGAUCUAUUGCUCAAUCGUGAUGGAGGGAGACGGCAACAUCCAAAACAUUCAGAACCUUAUCCCUGCACCUGCUGGAGGUAACCCCGUCCAUGCUAAUGCUGCUGUUAAUCUUGCCGUUGGUCAACCAGAUCAGGCAAAUAGAGGUCAUUGCAACUUCGUUUUCUAAUGAAGUUUCUAGAAAAGAACUUGCCAUUAUGUUGUCGAUGCAUAAGUAUCCACUGUCUAUAGUGGAUCACCUCUAUUUUCAACGAUUUAUUUGUAUUCUGCAACCGCUGUUCGAAUACCCUUCUAGGAAUACCAUGGAGAAAGAUAUAAUAUCUAAGGAUGCAGACUGCUAAGCAUUAACCAACAAUCCACACGUAGCCUAGUGGUAAAAGGGCGAGUAUUGCAUAUAACUAUUCGGUGGUUUGAGUUUGGUAGUUAGCAGAUUUUAUUUGUCAAAGUGGUUAGAUUGUGUUUUGGCACUAGUGUAUAGCGGCUUCCUCUAAUCUUAUUAUAGGAUCAUAUUUUAUAUUUUAAAAAUGUACAUCAUGAGUUUUUUUUGUAAUAAUAUAUCCAUCAGUAAUAUCACUCAUCGUAACUAUAAUUGUACGAAAGAAUUAAGUUUGGUGGUUCAUAAUUCAUAAAUUUAAUCUCUAACAUAUUCAUAAAUUUCGAGUAAUUUCUAUUAACUUAAAUUUUCUCUUUUAUUAUUUUUUCGAAAACAGUAUUCUCUAAUUUUUUAGUGUUACGUUAACAAUGUAUUUAACUGUACUAGUUUUUUUUUCUGACAAUAAGGUGUACAUAGUUUAUGGCUAAUUCAUUUAAUAAAUUUUAACUCAAUAGCUUUUACUAAAAUUACUGAUAAGUUGACCAAUGGUUUAAAUAUAAAUUAGUUCAUUAUAUAGAAGUAAAUCGGUAAUUAAAAGAUAAUUGAUAACAAAACUAAAUAAUUAAGAUAUGAUCAAUAUAAAAUUUAAGAGAUAAUAAAGAUAUUAAAAAAAGGAAUGAUAAUUAAAAAAUUUCCCUUAAUUAACUAAUCCUAGCUCUAACUAUAAAUAGAUUAUUUAAUACAUAAAUCCUAACUUAAUUGCGUAUCUGCACAAUAACUUUCAAAAAAAUUCGGCCGCUAGCGACGGGCUGUUCCACCAUUCGUUGGUGGUCUGACGAACACAUCAAAUUUUUUUAAGGGAAUCUGACCAACGACGAACACGAACAGACGGUGAGCCUGUCUACACUGAAACGGUUGGCCGCCCGUUUCAAUCUGGGCGAGACGGGUUCGCCUUCCGUUCGUCAACGGCCGGAACAAAGAAAACCUUACCGAAUGGAACGCUUACCUGUUAAAAAGAAGAUGAUCGGAGGAGAUAUGACUGUUGAACUUUCGGAAGAGAUUGUUCUAAGAUGAUCGGAGAAGCUUCAGUUCUUGAGCCGCACCGUCCACUCGUCGGCGUUGAAGGUCUGAUGAAGAUCAGAUGAAGAUGAUGGUAGGGAGAAUAAUAUGUUAGGGUUAAAUAGGAGUUUUAGUUAAUUAUAAGUAAUUAAUUAAAACAAGGGUAUUCGUGUAAUUUCACUGAAGCUAGGACGUUUAACAGCGAUUCAGUGUUUUUAGGGAUCUUAGAGGUCGUUUCAAUUUGAAAUUUAGAAGAAGGUGAUUUAAAAUACUUAGUGAUUUCAUAAAUAUCUUAUUUGUUUUCCAUAAUUGAGAGUGAUUCUAAUAUUUUAUACAAAAAAAGUUCAAUUGCUUUGUAGUUCUAAUAUAAGGCCAUCUACAUCCCAAAAUUUCUUUGGGCUUGUUUGUUAAAGGGGAAGUUUAAUUAAAACCAUGGGAAAUAUUAAAACUCUGGUUUGGUAAGCUGUAAUGGGCCAGAGUUUUUCAAAUACCAAUUUCCUCUGGGCCCAAUUUUCCUCCAAAAUCGGCCAUAUCCAAAUACAUGGUCGCCACCAUGUUUUCGUCAAAACUCAGUGUUUCUUCACAGUUGGCAGACAUUGUCUGUAUUGCCCCUUCACUGUCUGCCAUUAAUUCUGUCGAACAAAACCUCUCAUCUUCUUCCUCUCUGUUUCCCAUCGCCGUCUCCGUCGUUCUUCUUCCUGAAACCCAAAUUCUCCCUCCCAUACGUAGAAGUAAUAGUGCGAUUAAGAACCCAAAUAUUGAUUUCUUCUUCCAGGAUUCAUUUCUUACGGCUGCUAAUUUGUAGUGCUCUUCUUUUUCAGGUUUGGCUCAAACUAGGGAUUCUGGUGAAGAGAUUUUUCUCCACCAACAGAUCUUAUCGGAUCUACCAUUUUGUUCAUGCGAACAGGUGUGUUUUCUCUCCCCAUUUUCAUGCUAACCCUCAAUGUGCAUGGCCUUAAUGUCCCUCUAUGCAUCAAUAUGAAUAGAAACAUGCUCUGGCCACCAUAUGGAACCUGGAAUUUUUUUCAUAGUGGUUUUUAAUGCAUGAACUAAUCUACUGAGUUUCAGAUAACAUGUGUAUAAUAUUUGUAGUUUUGGUCUUAAN
rnacentral:lncRNA from 1 species